GUGAGGAGGUGACUCCUGUGAGGAGGUGACUCCUGUGAGGAGGGUGACUCCCUGUGAGGAGGUGACUCCCCGUGAGGAGGUGACUCCCCGUGAGGAGGUG
rnacentral:other from 1 species